ACUACGAGCCAAGCUUAAAACCCAAAGGACUUGACGGUACCCCACAUCCCCCUAGAGGAGCCUGUCCUAUAAUCGAUAACCCACGUUUAACCUCACCAUUUUUAGUUAAUCAGCCUGUAUACCUCCGUCGUCAGCUUACCACGUGAGCGUUAGUUAGUGAGCCCAAUGUAUUUCACCAAAACGUCAGGUCAAGGUGCAGUAAAUGAAAUGGGAAGAGAUGGGCUACACUUUCUACUUUAGAAAAAACGAAAAACUACCUAUGAAAUCUAGUUAAAAGGCGGAUUUAGUAGUAAAAAGGAAUCAGCAUGUCCAUUUUAACCCGGCA
rnacentral:rRNA from 1 species